rnacentral:rRNA from 1 species
GACAGAGGGGGCAAGCGUUGCUCGGAAUCACUGGGCGUAAAGGGCGCGUAGGCGGGAUGGCAAGUCAGUCGUGAAAUCUCUCGGCUCAACCGAGAAACGUCGGCUGAUACUGCCGUUCUUGAGGGAUGCAGAGGAGACUGGAAUUCCCGGUGUAGCGGUGAAAUGUGUAGAGAUCGGGAGGAACACCGGUGGCGAAGGCGGGUCGCGGGGCAUUUCCUGACGCUGAGGCGCGAAAGCGUGGGGAGCAAACGGG